UCGUGCCCGCAGCUUGUCGCUCGCGCCCGGGAGCGCCGCCGGGUCCCUGGAGUCCGCCGCAUCCUUUGUGCGGACCCUGGAGUUUCGCUGCGGAGCAGCAGGACGAAAUGUGGACGCCGCGGGAGCUUUAUUUCCCUGCCUAAAUUCGUGAAACAAUGGACGGUUAGGGGAGCAUGGAUUGAGGGGGAGGCGAGCGGGGAAGCGAGCCGCCUGGGGAAUCAUGACUUCUGCCGCCGAGAUUAAGAAGCCACCACUGGCCCCCAAACCAAAGUUUGUGGCAAAUAAUAAGUCAGUACCACCUCCUAUUGCACCCAAACCUGAUAUUGUGAUUUCUAGUGUUCCACAGUCAACAAAGAAAACCAAACCAGCAAUAGCCCCGAAACCAAAAGUUCUGAAAAGCUCACCUGUUUGUGACAUCAGGCAGUCACCAUCAAGGAAAACCAUCGUGAAUCUGGAAGAACAUAAACAGGAAUUACCUGAAAGUGCUGACAGCUCUUCUUGCAAAAAGAAGCACACUUCCACAGACAACUCAGAAACGAAUGAGGGCUGUAACUCCAACGGACAGUUCAGAAUUGAAUUUUCAGACUUGACACCUUCCCAGUCCAGCUUUGAAAAGCUUCCUGAUCACUACUGCCUCCUACAACUUCCUACCGAUGAACUUCAAAAUAUUGAAACUUGUCAGGAUGACAGUGAAAAAAGCCAUAUUUGCUUUCAUUCAUCUGAACAAGAAGCUCUGGCACAUGGUAAAAAGAGUACUUUUUUAUCUUCAGAUGGAGUUAGUAAGAACUCAAAAGUCAAAGACCUUGGUCCCUUAGAAGUUCACUUAGUAUCAUGUACUUCAAAAUUUCCAACUCCCAAGCCCAGAAAGACACGUGCCACACGGCUGUUACGUCAAGAGCACAUAGAUACUCCUAGUGAAAGUACUGAAAAACCAGAGAAUUUAGACAGUAACUCUUCUUGUCUUUUUGAAGAUAGUUUGAAAAACAAUGAAAUCAUUUAUCAGAAUGUUUUGUAUAACCAGGAACAGGUGAACAAAGUGAAACCAGGAAAGAAAAGUGAAUUGAAUGUGGACUCCAACAGUGACAGACAAAACUUAGUUGAUUCCCAGAAAGCCAUGUGUCAUGAAACAUCUUCCUCUGAAGAAAUGACACCUUCUUUGGAUACAGAUUCUAAUUUGAGUUCCGACAGCAAGACAGUAGAUGGUUCUAGUAUGUCACCUGCUAUGGACAAACGGACCAGUUUUAUAAGAUGCAGUACUGUAUCUAUGAGCCUGCCUAAGCAGCUGAAAUUAGCUUGCAACAAACGUUUACCUAUGGCCUGUAACUUGGGAGGGGCUGUCCCUCAAAUGCAAAAGGAAUCUACAAUGAAAGAUGUAAGUUCCUCAAAAAUUGUACCCAAAAAACCUCAAAGACACAGCUUGCCUGCUGCAGGAAUGCUUAAAAAGGCUGCCUCAGAGGAGCUUAUGGAGAAAAGUUCAUAUUCCUCAAAUGAAGAAAAAAAGGACCUAGAAAGAAAUCACCUUCAACAAUUGUGUGCCCAAAACCAUGGUACGUCGUCCUCCUUUGAGAUGUCCAAAAGGACUUUAGAAAAGCCAGUGUGGAAAUUACCUCAUCCUAUUUUACCCUUUAAAGGGAACCCAGAAUCCUUAAAGUCUAUCACCACAUCCUCAAAUAGUGAGGCUUCAAAUGCCCUGACCAAGCCUAGAGCAAAAUCACUGUCUGCUGUGGAUAUGGAUAGGUGCACUAAGCCUUGCAAAGAUUCUCAAAGGAAACCCUCUUUAAAGAAGUUGCUCAAUAUGAAGCUGUCCAUCUGUUUCAUGAAGAGUGACUUCCAGAAAUUUUGGUCCAAGAGUAGCCAACUUGAAGGCACAAUCGCUGGCAGACUCUCAGGUGAGGAGGGAAAAGAGAUUGAAAGUGAUUGGCAUGGCGUAUUAGUAGAAGAUAAGAGAAAUAAACCCAUCAAGUCAUAUUCUGCAGAUAACUACAGUCUGGAAUCUCAAAAGAAGAGGAAGAAGUCUCGGGGCCAGAGCAGUGCAACUAAUGGACCAAGAGCUGAGUCUUUGGAUGACCAAAUGCUCUCUAGGGAGGCAACAUCUCAGGCGCCUUGUAAAUCUGUUACAAGUGACUAUGCACCAGAUUAUGAAAAUGUACGCCAUUAUGAGGAAAUACCUGAGUAUGAGAACUUUCCACUUGCUAUGGCUGUCGGGAAAACUCUAGAGUUGGAAAGGCAGAAUCCCAGCAGCAUGGAGGACACUGAUGCAAAUGUGUAUGAGAUAGAAGACCUGUAUGAAGCUUCAGAUGGCCAGCUGCAACUUGAACCUAUACAGCAGCAUUCCAGUUGUGGAGCAUCCCAGGAGGUACACAGUGAUGUGGACCUUGGUCUUGGUGACCUUCCUUCAGAUGAAGAGGAAAUCAUCAACAGUUCUGAUGAAGACGAUGUCAGCUCUGGUUCUAGCAAAGGGGAGCCUGACCUGCUGGAAGAUAAACAGGAUGAAGAUACUGGAAUAAAAAGUAAAGUCCAUUAUAUUGCCAAGGAGAUCAUGAGCUCAGAGAAAGUGUUUGUGGAUGUGUUAAAACUUUUGCAUAUCGAUUUCCGGGAUGCUGUUGCUCAUGCUUCCAGACAACUUGGGAAACCAGUGAUUGAGGACCGGAUCCUAAAUCAGAUCCUAUACUACUUGCCUCAGCUGUACGAGCUCAACCGGGAUCUCCUGAAGGAACUAGAGGAGAGAGUGUCGAACUGGACAGAACAACAAAGAAUUGCUGAUAUCUUUGUAAAGAAGGGGCCAUAUCUAAAAAUGUAUUCCACAUACAUCAAAGAAUUUGAUAAGAAUAUAGCUUUGCUGGAUGAGCAGUGCAAGAAAAACCCAGGUUUCGCUGCUGUUGUUAGAGAAUUUGAGAUGAGCCCACGCUGUGCUAAUCUGGCCCUCAAGCACUACCUGCUCAAGCCAGUUCAGAGGAUCCCCCAGUACAGGCUGCUGCUAACAGAUUAUUUGAAAAAUCUUUUAGAAGACUCUGGAGAUUACAGAAACACUCAAGAUGCCCUUGCUGUUGUUAUAGAAGUAGCCAACCACGCCAAUGACACCAUGAAGCAAGGAGACAACUUCCAAAAACUUAUGCAAAUUCAGUACAGCUUAAAUGGACACCAUGAAAUUGUGCAGCCUGGACGGGUUUUUCUCAAAGAAGGAACUCUGAUGAAGCUGUCUCGGAAAGACAUGCAGCCCCGAGUGUUCUUCCUGUUUAAUGAUGCCCUAUUGUAUACAACACCAGUACAGUCUGGGAUGUAUAAACUGAACAACAUGCUCUCAUUGGCUGGAAUGAAGGUAAAAAAACCUACCCAAGAAGCGUAUCAGAAUGAACUACAGAUUGAGAGUGUAGAACGUUCCUUCAUUCUCUCAGCCAGUUCUGCCACAGAAAGGGAUGAAUGGCUAGAAGCGAUUUCCAGGUCAAUAGAAGAGUAUGCCAAGAAAAGAAUCACAUUCUGCCCUAGUAGGAGUCUUGAUGAGGCAGACUCAGAAAAUAAAGAGGAAGUUUGUCCCCUUGGAUCAAAGGCUCCUAUCUGGAUUCCUGAUACCAGAGCCACAAUGUGUAUGAUCUGCACAAGUGAAUUUACUCUGACCUGGAGACGACAUCACUGCCGGGCCUGCGGAAAGAUUGUGUGCCAAGCUUGUUCAUCAAAUAAGUGUGGCUUAGAUUACCUGAAAAAUCAACCAGCAAGAGUAUGUGAACAUUGUUUUCAAGAACUGCAGAAAUUAGAUCACCAGCACUCUCCUAAGAUUGGAUCUCCCGGAAAUCACAAAUCUUCAAGUGCCUUAUCAUCAGUCUUACAGAGUAUUCCAUCAGGGAGGAAACAGAAAAAAAUCCCAGCGGCUCUCAAAGAAGACGUGGCAGCUAUGGAGAGUCAACCUUUAUUAGGAUUCACUGUCACUGAAGUCAAAGAUGAGAAUUCAGAGUCUAGAGUAUUUCAAUUACUGCAUAAAAACAUGGUAUUUUAUGUAUUCAAAGCAGAUGAUGCUCACUCAGCUCAGAAGUGGAUAGAAGCAUUUCAGGAAGGCACAAUAUUAUAGCAGUAUUGGUCUCAUCUCUUCUGUGAUUUCAAAAGGGUGGAAUUUCAUCAGAACGAAGUAAAUACAGUAUAAAAAUUUAAUACAAAUGAACACUGCCAAGAUAAAUGUAACCAAAAUCUUCAUCAAAUAUAAAAAAUUAUUUUGUUAGGACAUGAUUCUUGCCAUCUACAUCUCAAGCACAGCUCUCCAAAUGCCUACAUUACAACUCAUUUCUUAGACCUACACAUUCCACCAUCCUGCAAGGCCACAUUUGCAACUACCACUUGGACACUGACACACGAGUCCUUAAGCAUUUUAAACUUUACAUCACUAAAACUCACUUUUCUUUUAAUCUGUUUAUUUUCUUCUGUGAUGGAAAAACAGUGUUGUACUCUCCAGAAUCUGACCCCAAGUCUCAACAGGGCCCUCUGCAGUUGCUCUUGUAUCCUUUCCAUCUUCAUUGCCCUUCUGUUGUUGCACAGACCCUUGUUACUUCUUUCCAAUGACUGGAAUAACUCUUCUUCUGAUUUCAAUGCCUUCUUUGCACGGUCCCAUUUUAAACACUGCCAGAGCCAUCUUCUAAAGCAUGGCUCUGCUUUCAUCCUGCUCUUCCACUUCCGUUGGCUUCCCAGUGGCUUGGCAUGGAACACUUUCCCCCAGGUAUCAUGCACUCGAGCUAAUCCCAACCCAACCUUCCUCUGUUCAGUUUGUUUUCUCACCCUCUCUUCCACCCCCAUUUCUGCCUAUUUAUCCUAGACUUAUCUGAAGUUGAUCCCUCGUCCUUCUCUUCCCUACUUCUCUCCUGUUUCUUCAGGCUAGAUCUAGUUUUCCCUUCCUCUAUAUUCCCAUAGCCUUUAGCUCAUAAACAGACUUUCUUAUGGUACUUAUCACAUUCUGUCCUAGAGAACAGCAACUGUAUCUUAUUCAUUUGAGAUUCCCCCUCAGCAUCUGCGCAGUGCCUAUAAUUGUUGGAUAUUCAGUAUUUGUUUGAUAAAUUAAAUUACUUCAAAUGGAUCCCCCCCUUUUUUUAGUAUCCCCAAUACACAAAUAUCAUUCAGGAGCUUAUGCCACUUUUAAAGUUAUUUUCUAAGAGAAAAUCUUCCUUACAACUUUUUUCCCCCCUUUAAGAAAAGAGAUAAGUAAUUUCUAGUAUUUUCUUUUUAAGAUGAAGGUGGCAGUAAAUUUUCAAAACGCCUCAAUAUAUCAAAUUCCUUUUUUCUGCUGUGGGGAGAGAUUAAAAGAGGGCAGCCUUUUCUUUUAUAUAAGUUGGUCAUAGCAUCUUGAAAACCAAUCUUAAAAUGCUAUUGUUUCUUUAAAUGACUUAUGAAUUUCUAUAAAUACUUUUUACUUAAAGUGAUAAUAGUCUGUAUCUUAUUGUCCAUAUAGAGAUCUACUAGUAAAUCCUUUAUAAAUCAAAUGUUAGCAUUGUAAAUAAUGUUAAUAUGUAUUUAUACAAAAUAAAUUUAUCUACUUUUGG